rnacentral:misc_RNA from 1 species
UUUUCGUAGGUGAACCUGCGGAAGGAUCAUUAGUGAAAUAUACAAUUGGGAAAGUGCGGACUUUGCAAAAAGAAAGCCUUUCUUUCAAUCAAUAUCCACUUUUACACACACUGUGCACUUGUUUUUCAUUUUAUUACUUCUAGAUCCAAUUCAUUUUGGUCUGGCAAGUUUUAAGAUAUACACUUGUGAAAAAACUGUUAAAAGUCCAAGUUGAUAAUAUUUGAUAAUACGAAAGUAAAACUUUCAGCAAUGGAUCUCUUGGCUCUCGCAUCGAUGAAGAACGCAGC